GAUGAACGCUAGCGGCAGGCCUAACACAUGCAAGUCGAACGAAGUCUUCGGACUUAGUGGCGCACGGGUGAGUAACACGUGGGAAUAUACCUUUCGGUGGGGAAUAACAUCGGGAAACUGAUGCUAAUACGGCAUACGCCCUUCGGGGGAAAGAUUUAUCGCCGAAAGAUUAGCCCGCGUCCGAUUAGGUAGUUGGUGAGGUAACGGCUCACCAAGCCUGCGAUCGGUAGCUGGUCUGAGAGGAUGAUCAGCCACACUGGGACUGAGACACGGCCCAGACUCCUACGGGAGGCAGCAGUGGGGAAUAUUGGACAAUGGGCGCAAGCCUGAUCCAGCCAUGCCGCGUGAGUGAUGAAGGCCUUAGGGUUGUAAAGCUCUUUCGACGGGGACGAUGAUGACGGUACCCGUAGAAGAAGUCACGGCUAACUACGUGCCAGCCGCCGCGGUAA
rnacentral:rRNA from 1 species